UUUAAAGGAGGCGAGGGCGCGGUCUGCGCGCGGGGCGGCGGGGCGCGGGGCCGCCGAGCUGUGGCUUCUCCUGCGCCCAGGCUCGCUGAGGUGUGGCCUCUUCUGCUCCAGAAUUCUCGCCCGGGCUGUUUCCAGCUCGGAGCCGAGGUGGAGGUGGACAUCGCCAGACUCUUAUCUUCGAGGAAAACGCCGGCCAGAGGUCCAAAUAUGGGGGAAUGGAAACGGGGAUAAAGGGCAGUGGUCUAUGCCAAGAGAGCUACCCAAAGAGGAUUUUCCAGCAGUCUGGAUGUCUGGGUCACAGCCUGGGAAUCCCACCCCUCCACCACUAUCUCUUGAGCCUGUUCAUGGGUGAUCACCUCCUCCACACGCCAAUACCCAGGGUUCUUCGUCUACAAACCGCCUCUGUUCCACUCGGAAGGGCCUCUUCCCAGUGCCAGUGAUAACCUCGAUGAUUACAGAUCCCCACACUUGGGGUGAUGAUGUGUUAUCCUGCUCUUCAAGACCCCACAAUAGCUGGGAGCUCUCUCCAAGGCUCCUCUCCCAAGUUUCCCCGACUGGACCAAGUCACUACCAGAGGACUUACGGGGGGAGGGAGAAGUUUUGACACUGAUGAAUCAGAGGCACAGUAGAAAUGGGCCCCAUACCCCAGCCCCCGGGACAUUGCUGGCAGCCUACACAGGGAGCCAAGCCCUGGUCCAGUUCACCUGCCCUGCCAGUCUAAUGGCUCCCCAAGAUCUCCUGUAGAAGCAGCGGGCCUGAAAGGGUGGCCCAGCAUCCCUCACGCUUAUAGUGCUCCAGGCUCUGCAUACUCAGAGUGCUCCCACCCCAACCUGAGCCCAGGGAGUCCACGGGCAGGUAGACUAACAAUCCAGGCCUGGCUACACACGGAGACCCCCACCAAAUAAUGGGUUUGAAGCACGUUAAAGUCUCCCUGGUGUUUGCACCCUUCAGGACGCAUUUCCCUUUGCAGACUCAGCCUCAUCUUCCGUCCAGCCUGGAGACUCGGAGGCCACAGAGGACAGAAGAGCCUCAGCUUCCAACUUGCUUGUGCUCACCGUCUCUCUGAGGCACCCGGCCAAGCUGUGAACUAGAGAGCCUGCCAGCAGGGCCCGGGGGGUUCCAACACUUCAGCUCCUGGCCUCAUACAAGGGGACGCUGAGACAGAGCCCAGGACACGCUCACAAAGACACCAUCACCGGAGCUCCGCUGUACUGAGUUACGGGGGAAGGGGACAUCCCUCCUCCAGGAUACCUCACGGCCCUCAUCAGUGGGCCAUGACCUUGGCUGACUCCCCCCCCCCCCCGCCCCCAGGAUGUCAUAUAAGACAUCCUGGAGAACUUGAAGCUCUAGGGGAAGGCACAGCUGGGCCACAAUCCUGAAGCCCGACCUUACCCCAAAACAUACAACUUACACAGACACCUUUCCUGCGUGUGUGUGUGGGGGGGGUGCUAAGCGUGCGGUGCCUGCGACCCAGGCAGCUGGCUGGGUGGGACAGCGGGCCCAUUUGUCCUCCGUAGGCACUCUGGGGACCUGGAGGACGGCUCUGGGCUAUGUGAGUGCCUCUCAUGUAUCCCCACCCUCAGGCAAGAGAGCAAGGCCAGAGAGCUGUCACGUUCCCGAGGCAGUUCAGUGCAAGGACCAGGCUGCCCCCACCAAGAUGCCUGCCCUGGGUGCUCAUCAUAGCCAAGCCUGCGGACAUUGCUUGUGUCCUGCAGGUCAGGUGAGACGACCACCCCCCACCCCCACCCACCCCAUGGCACAUGAGUCAUGGAGAGGGCACUGGAGACACCAGGUACGAAACAUCCCUGGCACUUGAGUUCCUGGGUGGUAGCAGUGUGGUUCCAGCCCAACCCCGGGCAUGGCGGAGACCCUGCAUCUGCCCAGAGUACACAACUCUCUGGGAUGGGCAGAACUGUACCCAUUUCCUCUCAACUGAGGCCUGCUCAGCCUCCACUCCUGCAGACUACACAGCUUGUGCAGUGUUCCAAGGCUGAACAUUUAAGCCGGUCCCCCCCUGAGCUGUCCGCUCCCUCCGCCUGCCAGUAUCCCAGACCGGCUGCACCAGCUCACUGAAAGCCACCUGCCUCCCAGAGCAUCUACUUGCACAGUCUGAGGAGGAACGGAGGGGUUUGUAUGGAGACCUUGCUACCCCCUCGGGACACUGUUCCUCACCCCGGGUCACAAUGCUCAAAGCCAGUGGCCACCAAUAAAAAUUACACAAGCUUUA